CACGUAGGGCGCAAGCGUUGUCCGGAAUUAUUGGGCGUAAAGAGCUCGUAGGCGGUCUGUUGCGUCCGCUGUGAAAACUCGGGGCUCAACCCCGAGCCUGCAGUCGAUACGGGCAGACUAGAGUGCUGUAGGGGAGACUGGAAUUCCUGGUGUAGCGGUGAAAUGCGCAGAUAUCAGGAGGAACACCGGUGGCGAAGGCGGUUCUCUGGGCAUUGACCUGACGCUGAGGAGCGAAAGUGUGGGGAGCGAACAGG
rnacentral:rRNA from 1 species